rnacentral:rRNA from 1 species
AUUGGCGACUUCAAUGAGAUUUUGCUCUCUUCAGAGAAGGAGGGUAGAGCGUCGCGGCAGCAGGCGAGACUCCACGCGUUCCAAGAUGCGUUGUCUGAUUGUUCCUUGGAGGACAUAGGAUACCAUGGCGAUAAAUUCACAUGGUUCCGAGGUGGUCUGAGGGAACGUUUGGAUCGGGCCGUCUCUAAUGCCGAAUGGAUGGAAAUGCACCCCUUGUGUGGACUGUGCAACCUUGAUAUGGGGAAAUCAGAUCAUAGACCGAUAUGUCUGGACACUGACUACUUGGCCGGCGUGGCAGCCCCAAGGAAGCAGGCAAGACGUGUGUUUGAGGCCUGUUGGUUAUCUGAGGAAACAGUGGAAGAAGUAGUUAAAAUGACUUGGCAAAAAGCGGCCACUCGGGGGCUGUGCCCUUCGGCCAACUCAAAGCUUGCGGCAGUUCAUAGAGACUUACAUGCUUGGGAUCGCAAAGUGUUGAAAGGGCCACGUGCUCGCCUGCGAACGGCACAGAAGGAUCUAGAAAAUCUAAUGCGCUCAUCGUUUACGAUCGAGACAAGUCUGAAACAAAAGGACCUUACGGUGUUGAUCGAGAACCUGCUCGAGCAAGAAGAAAUAUAUUGGGCACAGCGUGGGCGAGUGAACUGGUUGCGCCGAGGAGAUCAAACACAAAGUUUUUUAAUCAAUCUGCUUCAGCUCGUAGGUGUCAUAAUUUGA